ACGUAUCCACGUAUAAACCAUUGUGAACUGUCUCUAUCACCUUUGUUGGUUAGUGAAUGAAGCCGAUGUGUUUUUCUCUCCGGAGUCCGCGUCGGUGGAGUUCAGUUUCCGCAAAGUGUAUUAACCUUAUAUUAACCAUUUUAACCCAAUCUUUAUAACUUUUUAUGAACUAAUUUUUAUUUUAUACUCUUCGGAGAUAAAAUUCAUUACGAAACAAAGAACAACUCUUAGCAACGGAUAUCUUGGUUCU
rnacentral:misc_RNA from 1 species